rnacentral:rRNA from 1 species
CCUACGGGUGGCAGCAGUGGGGAAUAUUGGGCAAUGGGCGCAAGCCUGAUCCAGCAACGCCGCGUGAAGGAAGAAGGCUUUCGGGUCGUAAACUUCUUUUAAGAGGGAAGAGCAGAAGACGGUACCACUUGAAUAAGCCACGGCUAACCAUGUGCCAGCAGCCGCGGUAAUACGUAGGUGGCAAGCGUUGUGCGGAUUUACUGGGUGUAAAGGGCGUGCAGCCGGGAGGACAAGUCAGAUGUGAAAGCCCGCGGCUCAACCGCGGAACUGCAUUUGAAACUGUUUGUCUUGAGUACCGGAGAGGUCAUCGGAAUUCCUUGUGUAGCGGUGAAAUGCGUAGAUAUAAGGAAGAACACCAGUGGCGAAGGCGGAUUACUGGACGGCAACUGACGGUGAGGCGCGAAGGCGUGGGGAGCAAACAGGAUUAGAUACCCGAGUAGUC